rnacentral:rRNA from 1 species
ACGAAGGAUCCAAGCGUUGUCCGGAUUUACUGGGUUUAAAGGGUGCGUAGGCGGGGAAUUAAGUCAGUGGUGAAAGCUGGUAGCUCAACUAUCAAAUUGCCAUUGAAACUGAUUCUCUCGAGUACGGUUGAGGUAGCUGGAAUGUAACAUGUAGCGGUGAAAUGCUUAGAUAUGUUACAGAACACCGAUUGCGAAGGCAGGCUACUAAACCGUAACUGACGCUGAGGCACGAAAGCGUGGGGAUCAAACAGGAUUAGAUACCCUGGUAGUCCACGCUGUAAACGUUGCAUACUCGGUCUUAGCGAUAUACAGUUAGGACCUAAGCGAAAGCAUUAAGUAUGCCACCUGGGGAGUACGGUCGCAAGAUUG